UGGGGAAUAUUGGACAAUGGGCGCAAGCCUGAUCCAGCCAUGCCGCGUGAGUGAUGAAGGCCCUAGGGUUGUAAAGCUCUUUCACCGGUGAAGAUAAUGACGGUAACCGGAGAAGAAGCCCCGGCUAACUUCGUGCCAGCAGCUGCGGUAAUACGAAGGGGGCUAGCGUUGUUCGGAUUUACUGGGCGUAAAGCGCACGUAGGCGGACUAUUAAGUCAGGGGUGAAAUCCCGGGGCUCAACCCCGGAACUGCCUUUGAUACUGGUAGUCUUGAGUUCUAGAGAGGUGAGUGGAAUUCCGAGUGUAGAGGUGAAAUUCGUAGAUAUUCGGAGGAACACCAGUGGCGAAGGCGGCUCACUGGCUCGAUACUGACGCUGAGGUGCGAAAGCGUGGGGAGCAAACAGG
rnacentral:rRNA from 1 species